rnacentral:rRNA from 1 species
UACGUAGGGUGCGAGCGUUGUCCGGAAUUACUGGGCGUAAAGAGCUCGUAGGUGGUUUGUCGCGUUGUUCGUGAAAACCUGAGGCUUAACCUUGGGCGUGCGGGCGAUACGGGCAGACUGGAGUACUGCAGGGGAGACUGGAAUUCCUGGUGUAGCGGUGGAAUGCGCAGAUAUCAGGAGGAACACCGGUGGCGAAGGCGGGUCUCUGGGCAUUAACUGACGCUGAGGAGCGAAAGCAUGGGGAGCGAACAGG